rnacentral:lncRNA from 1 species
CAAGCGGUGUUAGAUCAGCCCCUCCGGUCGAGGAGACCGAAGACGGGGUGAUGCAUGAAACCUGACCGACGCCGCUCGAGUCCGGCUGGGCUCGGGGGCUCAGGCCGAUAGACCCCGACCUAGGGACGCCACCCGCAGCACGAGUCAUGAUCGGGACAAAUGCGAGCAAAGCCUCCCGACUGACACUAUAUCCUCCCUGAGGACGGGAACACUCAGAUCCAUAGCCCCAAGUGUUCAGCCUCCGAUCGACCCUUCGGUCAGCCGC